GAAACGAUCAGGAACGUGGUUUCGAUUUAUUUGAUAUAAAAUUAAAAGUAGCUGUUAAAUUAAUCAGUUGAACUAAAAUACCUCUAUUAUUAUUAGUAAUCGAUUUGUAGUUACACAUAUUGCAAAUUAUAACCCCGCUUAUCGCUCGUUGCAUAAUACGUGGUGAACACUGAAAAACUUUGGAGCUGUCGAUCAGAAGCUAUCAAAACGGUGUCUCAAUCACGGUGCAACA